CCCUUAGAUGUUCUGGGCCACACGCGUGCUACACUGACCGGCGCAACAAGUUUCUUUCCUUGGCUCGAUAGGCCUGGGUAAUCUUUGAACGCCGGUCGUGAUGGGGAUAGAUCCUUGCAAUUUUUGAUCUUCAACGAGGAAUUCCUAGUAAAUGCGAGUCAUCAUCUCGCGUUGAUUACGUCCCUGCCCUUUGUACACACCGCCCGUCGCACCUACCGAUUGAAUGGUCCGGUGAAGCCUCGGGAUUGCGAAUGCUUCGUGCGGACGCGAGAACUUGGCUAAACCUUACCAUUUAGAGGAAGGUGAAGUCGUAACA
rnacentral:rRNA from 1 species